rnacentral:rRNA from 1 species
CCUACGGGUGGCAGCAGUGAGGAAUAUUGGUCAAUGGGCGCGAGCCUGAACCAGCCAAGUAGCGUGAAGGAUGACUGCCCUACGGGUUGUAAACUUCUUUUAUAAAGGAAUAAAGUGAGGCACGUGUGCCUUUUUGUAUGUACUUUAUGAAUAAGGAUCGGCUAACUCCGUGCCAGCAGCCGCGGUAAUACGGAGGAUCCGAGCGUUAUCCGGAUUUAUUGGGUUUAAAGGGAGCGUAGAUGGGUUGUUAAGUCAGCGGUGAAAGUCGGUGGCUCAACCAUAGAAUUGCCGUUGAAACUGGGAGGCUUGAGUAUGUUUGAGGCAGGCGGAAUGCGUGGUGUAGCGGUGAAAUGCUUAGAUAUUGCGCAGAACUCCGAUUGCGAAGGCAGCAUACCGGCGGCGAUCUGACGCUGAGGCACGAAAGCGUGGGUAUCGAACAGGAUUAGAUACCCCGGUAGUC